rnacentral:rRNA from 1 species
GAUGAACGCUGGCGGCGUGCCUAAUACAUGCAAGUCGAGCGAACGGACGAGAAGCUUGCUUCUCUGAUGUUAGCGGCGGACGGGUGAGUAACACGUGGAUAACCUACCUAUAAGACUGGGAUAACUUCGGGAAACCGGAGCUAAUACCGGAUAAUAUUUUGAACCGCAUGGUUCAAAAGUGAAAGACGGUCUUGCUGUCACUUAUAGAUGGAUCCGCGCUGCAUUAGCUAGUUGGUAAGGAAACGGCUUACCAAGGCAACGAUGCAUAGCCGACCUGAGAGGGUGAUCGGCCACACUGGAACUGAGACACGGUCCAGGCUCCUACGGGAGGCAGCAGUAGGGAAUCUUCCGCAAUGGGCGAAAGCCUGACGGAGCAACGCCGCGUGAGUGAUGAAGGUCUUCGGAUCGUAAAACUCUGUUAUUAGGGAAGAACAUAUGUGUAAGUAACUGUGCACAUCUUGACGGUACCUAAUCAGAAAGCCACGGCUAACUACGUG